rnacentral:rRNA from 1 species
GAUGAACGCUGGCGGCGUGCCUAAUACAUGCAAGUCGAGCGAACAGACGAGGAGCUUGCCCCUCUGACGUUAGCGGCGGACGGGUGAGUAACACGUGGAUAACCUACCUAUAAGACUGGGAUAACUUCGGGAAACCGGAGCUAAUACCGGAUAAUAUAUUGAACCGCAUGGUUCAAUAGUGAAAGACGGUUUUGCUGUCACUUAUAGAUGGAUCCGCGCCGCAUUAGCUAGUUGGUAAGGUAACGGCUUACCAAGGCAACGAUGCGUAGCCGACCUGAGAGGGUGAUCGGCCACACUGGAACUGAGACACGGUCCAGACUCCUACGGGAGGCAGCAGUAGGGAAUCUUCCGCAAAGGGCGAAAGCCUGACGGAGCAAAGCCGCGUGAGUGAUGAAGGUCUUCGGAUCGUAAAACUCUGUUAUUAGGGAAGAACAAAUGUGUAAGUAACUAUGCACGUCUUGACGGUACCUAAUCAGAAAGCCACGGCUAACUACGUG